rnacentral:rRNA from 1 species
AACGAACGUUAGCGGCGCGCUUAACACAUGCAAGUCGAGGGGCAGCGGGGAUAGCAAUAUCUGCCGGCGACCGGCAAACGGGUGCGGAACACGUACGCAACCUUCCCAGAACAGGUGAAUAGCCCUCCGAAAGGAGGAUUAAUACACCGUAAUAUAUAGAGAUGGCAUCAUUUUUAUAUUAAAGGUCGCAAGAUCGGUUUUGGAUGGGCGUGCGCCUGAUUAGGUAGUUGGUGNGGGUAACGGCCCACCAAGCCUUCGAUCAAUAACUGGUGUGAGAGCACGACCAGUCACACGGGCACUGAGACACGGGCCCGACUCCUACGGGAGCAGCAGUAAGGAAUAUUGGUCAAUGGACGAAAGUCUGAACCAGCCAUGCCGCGUGAGGGAUGAAGGCCCUC